rnacentral:rRNA from 1 species
GAUGAACGCUGGCGGCGUGCCUAACACAUGCAAGUCGAACGGGAGUUGUUUUUCGGACAACAAGAGUGGCGCACGGGUGAGUAACACGUAGCUAACCUGCCCCGAAGGCCGGGAUAACGUUCCGAAAGGAAUGCUAAUACCGGAUAAGCUCACGAGCUGUAGAGGCUUGGGAGAAAAGGACGCAAGCCACUUUGGGAUGGGGCUGCGACCCAUCAGCUAGUUGGUGAGGUAACGGCUUACCAAGGCGACGACGGGUAGGGGGACCGUGAGA